rnacentral:lncRNA from 1 species
CGCGACCACCAAAACCUUACACCCCGUUCGUCGAUUGGCCCCGACAAACACGCCAGCCGUCUUAAACAAACGCAAUUUGAUCACUCUUUUGAUCUUUAAAAACGUCCAGCACAAGGACAAAAGCGCGCUACAACAAAAAUCCAAAAUUUUGGUUUAGCACUUCCAGAUAAUUCUGAGAAGAUGCUCGAUUCGUACCAUACAAGUCAUAUAAGCCGAGAACAUAUCGCGGACUUAAAAUCGGUGCGAAUCAGGAAGAAAUCGCAACAGGAAAAACGAUAGCCGCUAGUCACCGCAUAAACCUUAACCGAAAGUAAACCUAGGUCUUGCCC